GGGUGCAGCGAGCAUCGCUGCAGGCACCGCUGCUGGUCGGGCCGCCAGUGG
rnacentral:ncRNA from 1 species